rnacentral:rRNA from 1 species
GAUGAACGCUGGCGGCGUGCUUAACACAUGCAAGUCGAACGGUGAACACGGAGCUUGCUCUGUGGGAUCAGUGGCGAACGGGUGAGUAACACGUGAGCAACCUGCCCCUGACUCUGGGAUAAGCGCUGGAAACGGCGUCUAAUACUUGAUACGAGUAGCGACCGCAUGGUCAGUUACUGGAAAGCUUUUUUGGUUGGGGAUGGGCUCUCGGCCUAUCAGCUUGUUGGUGAGGCAAUGGUUCACCAGGGCGUCGACGGGUAGCCGGCCUGAGAGGGUGACCGGCCACACUGGGACUGAGACAAGGCCCAGACGCCUACGGGAGGCAGCAGUGGGAAUAUUGCACAAUGGGCGAAAGCCUGAUGCAGCAACGCCGCGUGAGGGAUGACGGCCUUCGGGUUGUAAACCUCUUUUAGCAGGGAAGAAGCGAAAGUGACGGUACCUGCAGAAAAAGCGCCGGCUAACUACGUGCCAGCAGCCGCAGUAACAC